UGCCGUUCAGAUAGGGAUACUCAUCAAAUAAUAUCUAACACCGCAGAUGUCUCUUCUGUCAAUGGCGGGCCACAUAAACGACUUUAGUCGCCAAGCUUUUAGCCGGUGGAUUACAAAGAAGAAGAACUCGCAAAUCUUUUUGAAUACGGAGUUUUCAUCACUUCAUAGGCACGACUCC
rnacentral:sRNA from 1 species